UACGGAGGAUCCAAGCGUUAUCCGGAUUUAUUGGGUUUAAAGGGUGCGUAGGCGGCCUGUUAAGUCAGGGGUGAAAGACGGUAGCUCAACUAUCGCAGUGCCCUUGAUACCGAUGGGCUUGAAUGGACUAGAGGUAGGCGGAAUGUGACAAGUAGCGGUGAAAUGCAUAGAUAUGUCACAGAACACCGAUUGCGAAGGCAGCUUACUAUGGUUUUAUUGACGCUGAGGCACGAAAGCGUGGGGAUCAAACAGG
rnacentral:rRNA from 1 species